UUGCUCGGCAAGUUAGUAAAA
ensembl:piRNA 21ur-9100 ncRNA